CUGUGAUGGGAAUUGCUCUUCUUAAGCACAGUUUUUUUGUGUGUGGGACAAAUGCUUAUUGGUGGCUGAAGGUUCCACAUCUCCUGUGUGGCUGCUUGGUGUCUUUGCUCUGGGACUCUUCAAUCUGAGUUUCGUAUGCAAUAUCAUACAUAACCAUGGCUGGCCUUCAGAGCAAUGGAGGAAGCGAUAUUGCUUUAUUUGGGGUUAGGCUGCGCUGAGUGGCAGAGCGGAACGCGGCGGUGGUGCAGCACGAGCCCUCAUUCACACCCACGAUGGAAACAGCGUCGGAGGGGGAAAAAGAAACGCGAACACCUUUCAGGUCAUAUACUGACAGCUACCCAAUGGUUGACUACUCUAGCGAGAUGUGUGACAUUCACCAGCUGAAUGAAUGCUGCUGUACAAUGGAAAAAGAAAAUACAGCAAGAGAGCCAUGCUACCUUAAAGUCCAAGCUACAAAUUCAACUUAGAAUGAGCACCGAUGAGCGUAAGAAACGAAAAAAGGGACAGAUCAGGCUUCGUUUUAAUCGAGCCCAUCACAAAC
rnacentral:lncRNA from 1 species